UACAGAGGUCUCAAGCGUUGUUCGGAUUCAUUGGGCGUAAAGGGUGCGUAGGCGGCGCGGUAAGUCGGGUGUGAAAUCUCGGGGCUUAACUCCGAAACUGCAUUCGAUACUGCCGUGCUUGAGGACUGGAGAGGAGACUGGAAUUUACGGUGUAGCGGUGAAAUGCGUAGAUAUCGUAAGGAAGACCAGUGGCGAAGGCGGGUCUCUGGACAGUUCCUGACGCUGAGGCACGAAGGCCAGGGGAGCGAAACGGG
rnacentral:rRNA from 1 species